UGGACACUUAGUCAUUUUCUUCUCCCGGUGAAGCCAUCUCUGUAUAAAUGUCCUAGAGAAAUAGAGUAGCCUUCUGUUCACCCUUUGCAAGUACAAAGGGUGGAUCGUUCCACCACUGACACCA
ensembl:snoRNA